GCCAAGAAAUCCCAGUGGUGUUUGAGUGUUGGACUAUGAUUCUGGAGACCAGGGUUCAAAUCCCAGCUUGGCC